GACGAACGCUGGCGGCGUGCUUAACGCAUGCAAGUCGAACGGAAAGGCCCUGCUUGCAGGGUACUCGAGUGGCGAACGGGUGAGUAACACGUGGGUGAUCUGCCCUGCACUUCGGGAUAAGCCUGGGAAACUGGGUCUAAUACCGGAUAGGAGCCAUUUUUAGUGUGAUGGUUGGAAAGUUUUUUCGGUGUAGGAUGAGCUCGCGGCCUAUCAGCUUGUUGGUGGGGUAAUGGCCUACCAAGGCGGCGACGGGUAGCCGGCCUGAGAGGGUGGACGGCCACAUUGGGACUGAGAUACGGCCCAGACUCCUACGGGAGGCAGCAGGGGGGAAUAUUGCACAAUGGGCGCAAGCCUGAUGCAGCGACGCCGCGUGGGGGAUGACGGCCUUCGGGUUGUAAACUCCUUUCGCUAGGGACGAAGCUUUUUGUGACGGUACCUAGAUAAGAAGCACCGGCUAACUACGUG
rnacentral:rRNA from 1 species